AUACUCCUACGGGAGGCAGCAGUAAGGAAUAUUGGUCAAUGGACGCAGGUCUGAACCAGCCAUGCCGCGUGAAGGAUGAAGGCCCUCUGGGUUGUAAACUUCUUUUAUCUGGGACGAAAAACGGACUUUCUAGUUCACUUGACGGUACCAGAGGAAUAAGCACCGGCUAACUCCGUGCCA
rnacentral:rRNA from 1 species